UACAGAGGUCCCGAGCGUUGUUCGGAUUCAUUGGGCGUAAAGGGUGCGUAGGCGGUCUGCUAAGUUUGAUGUGAAAUCCCGGGGCUCAACCCUGGAAUUGCAUUGAAUACUGGCGGACUAGAGUCCUGGAGAGGAAACUGGAAUUUACGGUGUAGCAGUGAAAUGCGUAGAGAUCGUAAGGAAGACCAGUGGCGAAGGCGAGUUUCUGGACAGGUACUGACGCUGAGGCACGAAGGCCAGGGGAGCAAACGG
rnacentral:rRNA from 1 species